UGGAAAAUCGAUAGAGGUCUUUUUACGAGGCUUUCGCAGGAAUGGCCAUUUGGUAUUUCCUGUCCAGGACGCGAGAGUCGCUUGCUUCUCCAUCCUGUCUGACUGCUUUGGUUUGUGAGACGGGUUAUCGCUCUCAUCCCAUCACACUCCUUCUUCACUUCUUAUCCGAGGGGGUUUGUGCAUGAAGAGGAGUCCAAAAGUCGGCCAACGAGUCCACGUCGGAGCGCAAGUGUCGACAAACUGCGAGGAAAUUCCGCAAAGACUGAGCUGUGUGGCGUUCAGGAGAAACUUUUCUCAGGGAAAGUGCGCCAUGUUGUCAAAUCUUUUCCUUUUUUUUUCUUGUCUUUUUUCCCCUGUUGCCAUAGCGGAUUUGUGAGCGCUGUGCGGAGGGAGGCAUGAAGGUCUGUGGGAGUCUGAGUCAGGAAAAGAAAAGUACAAUUAAUGGAUGAAGUGUCGCUUAUGCUUUUUUUUUUUUUUUUUUUUUUUUUGGCUUUUAACAGUGUUACAAACUAUUUAUAAAGUGGUAUUCAAAGUAAAUAUGAGCUAACGUUCAAGGUCAGAGCCGGUCAUAGACUUUGUAAGGGCAGGGGUGAAGAUGAAAGAGGGGCACCUAACCUAUUGGUGGCCCAGUGUGCUCAAUUGCCCUCUAAUGUGCCCUUACAGUGGAGAAACGUUAGCAACAUAUUAGAAGAUAUUUUUUUUGGCCUCUAUGUUUCCCUUAAUGGUUUAUUAAUUUAGCUCUAUUAUUAUUACUGAGAUAUAGCAUCAUUUGAGUCACAUAAUAAAACAAUUUUCUAUUUUAAAGGUCCAGUGUGUAGGAUUUAGUUACAUCUAGCGGUGUAGAUGCACAUUGGAACUCCUUCGUUUCACCCUCCCCUUCCAACCAUGAAGGGGAACCUACCGUGGCUGCUAAACGCCCCUAUCUGGACCCGUUGUUUGGUUAAGUCUGUACUAAGCUACUGUAGAAACAUGGCAGUGUAACAUGGCGGGCUCCAUGGAAGGUGACCCACGGUGUCUGUAGAUAUACAAGGCUCACUGUAAGGUAGCAAAAGCACAACGAUUCCUAUAUUUAGGUGAUUAUACACGUAUGAAUUCAUACCUGUGAAUAUUAUUAUAUUCCAUUUUUGCCAAUAGAUCCUAUUAAAUGUUACUGUCUGGACCUUUAAAGGUUAUAUUAAAAAAAUUGCACUAGAGCAGGGCUUCCCAGACCUUUUCAUUUCAAGGACCCCCCACUGAGGCUCAUUAGACCCCCAGUCUGAGAUAAUUUUGUUAAGGAAUCCUCUCUGAGUCAUUUUUGAAGAUAAUGAAGUCUUCAUAGUCAGUUAACGAUAAAACUGGGUACAGUCAAACAAAACGACCAACGUAUUUCUUCCCUCGAAGUUCCAACUUCCAAAAAAUGUGAUUAUAGUUAAAAUAUUCCUCCUUUUUUUGGUGACCCCCUACAACCCAUGGUUUUCUUGGUCAGUUUGAAAACCACUGCACAAGAGUAUUGUCUCAGAGCAAAACCAUGGGACAGAAACAAAGUCAAACUCACCAAAAAUGUCCUUCCAACAGUCACCAACACUGGUUUGAUCAAAAUAAACCCUUCAUUCACAGAGUUAGAUGUGAAAAGGGCUGCAAUGGCAGCAGCUAAUCCUUGGGGACCAAUGUGUCCAUCAAAGUACGUCCACUAAAAGCUUGUUUUUGCCACUAACUCAUUAAGGACAGGGUCCUACAGGGAUAGAGCUUUUGUUUAACCAUAAACAGCCAGACAUUUUUACCGUGUAUAUCAGUGUAACUUCAUUCAAAGUAGACAGAAGAAAAAUAAAACUCACAGAAAAUG